rnacentral:rRNA from 1 species
GCAUGGUCCGGUGUGAAAAACUCCGGUGGUGUGAGAUGGACCCGCGUUUGAUUAGCUAGUUGGUGGGGUAACGGCCUACCAAGGCGACGAUCAAUAGCCGACCUGAGAGGGUGACCGGCCACAUUGGGACUGAGACACGGCCCAAACUCCUACGGGAGGCAGCAGUGGGGAAUAUUGCACAAUGGGGGAAACCCUGAUGCAGCGACGCCGCGUGAGUGAAGAAGUAUUUCGGUAUGUAAAGCUCUAUCAGCAGGGAAGAAAAUGACGGUACCUGACUAAGAAGCCCCGGCUAACUACGUGCCAGCAGCCGCGGUAAUACGUAGGGGGCAAGCGUUAUCCGGAUUUACUGGGUGUAAAGGGAGCGUAGACGGUAAAGCAAGUCUGAAGUGAAAGCCCGGGGCUCAACCCCGGGACUGCUUUGGAAACUGUUUAACUAGAGUGCUGGAGAGGUAAGCGGAAUUCCUAGUGUAGCGGUGAAAUGCGUAGAUAUUAGGAGGAACACCAGUGGCGAAGGCGGCUUACUGGACAGUAACUGACGUUGAGGCUCGAAAGCGUGGGGAGCAAACAGGAUUAGAUACCCUGGUAGUCCACGCGGUAAACGAUGAAUGCUAGG